UACGAAGGGUGCAAGCGUUAAUCGGAAUUACUGGGCGUAAAGCGUGCGUAGGCGGUUGGCUAAGUCAGAUGUGAAAGCCCUGGGCUCAACCUGGGAAUGGCAUUUGAAACUGGCUGGCUAGAGUGUGAUAGAGGAUGGCGGAAUUCCCGGUGUAGCGGUGAAAUGCGUAGAGAUCGGGAGGAACAUCCGUGGCGAAGGCGGCCAUCUGGAUCAACACUGACGCUGAGGCACGAAAGCGUGGGGAGCAAACAGGG
rnacentral:rRNA from 1 species